rnacentral:rRNA from 1 species
GGCGUAGGCGGCUUGAUAAGUGGGGCGUGAAAUCCUCCGGCUCAACCGGAGACCUGCGCUCCAAACUGUCUAGCUUGAGUCCGGGAGAGGAGACGGGAAUUCCUGGUGUAGCGGUGAAAUGCGCAGAUAUCAGGAAGAACACCGGUGGCGAAGGCGCGUCUCUGGACCGGUACUGACGCUGAGGCCCGAAAGCAGGGGGAGCAAACA